AUUGAACGCUGGCGGCAUGCCUUUACACAUGCAAGUCGAACGGCAGCACGGGAGCAAUCCUGGUGGCGAGUGGCGAACGGGUGAGUAAUAUAUCGGAACGUGCCCAGUCGUGGGGAUAACGUAGCGAAAGCUACGCUAAUACCGCAUACGAUCUACGGAUGAAAGCGGGGGAUCGCAAGACCUCGCGCGAUUGGAGCGGCCGAUAUCAGAUUAGGUAGUUGGUGAGGUAAAGGCUCACCAAGCCGACGAUCUGUAGCUGGUCUGAGAGGACGACCAGCCACACUGGGACUGAGACACGGCCCAGACUCCUACGGGAGGCAGCAGUGGGGAAUUUUGGGACAAUGGGCGCAAGCCUGAUCCAGCAAUGCCGCGUGCAGGAUGAAGGCCUUCGGUGU
rnacentral:rRNA from 1 species